rnacentral:rRNA from 1 species
UAGCGUAGGGUGGCGAGCGUUGUCCGGAAUUAUUGGGCGUAAAGAGCUCGUAGGCGGCUUGUCGCGUCGGAUGUGAAAAGCCCCGGGGCUUAAUCCGGGUCUGCAUUCGAUACGGGCAGGCUAGAGUGUGGUAGGGGAGAUCGGAAUUCCUGGUGUAGCGGUGAAAUGCGCAGAUAUCAGGAGGAACACCGGUGGCGAAGGCGGAUCUCUGGGCCAUUACUGACGCUGAGGAGCGAAAGCGUGGGGGAGCGAACAGG